rnacentral:lncRNA from 1 species
CAGAGGUGGGUCAGUGGAUUUCUUGAGUGAGAACCCAGAUUUUCAGACGCUGUUUGAAAAGGGGCUGUGCUUGAAGAAGUUACCACUUCUCAUCAGGACACAUAGCCACAGGUCAGAGUCUUCACCAGUGCUGGGAGCUUAGUGUCACACUGACAGCUGCUCAUGUUCUGGCUUAAGCUGGGCGCAUCCUGAAGGUCCUGAAGGCCUGCAGGUGUUCAUGGUGCAAAAACUGGACACGGGAUGCUGAAUCCCGGAUGUGUGAGGCUUUGCAGAAACCACCGCCCAUGUCCAGCCACAUAAAUCCACAGGGCUACAGAGAUGAUGGAAGCUGCCCGGUCAGUGUCUGCAAUGGGAGGUGUUGCUUCAGAGGAAGGAUUUGCUCACGCAGAGGAAAACUUCACGUGAAUUAACUAACGUGUGAAUUGAAAGUGGAUUAGCAAUGCCACAUAAAUGGAUGGAUCCCUUGGAUUCUUCUCUUCGGAAUUAAACCGGUCCUAAUUUGAUUCAGAGUAAUAAUGAAAGAGGAUGUUAUACAGGCUUUAAUGAGAUCUAAUGUUCUCACCACAAAAGUUAGCCUGGGUUUAUUUCUUGUGUCUCCCAGCAGGGGUGGGAUUGGAAUGUAGGGCUGAAUUUUUUUAGUAGGAAACUUAUAUUGUCUUUACUGCAG